rnacentral:rRNA from 1 species
AGAGUUUGAUCCUGGCUCAGGAUGAACGCUGGCGGCGUGCUUAACACAUGCAAGUCGAACGAACCUUCGGGUUAGUGGCGGACGGGUGAGUAACGCGUGGGAAUCUGCCCUCAGGAGGGGGAUAACGGUUGGAAACGACCGCUAAUACCCCAUAUGCCGAGAGGUGAAAUGAAUUUCGCCUGAGGAUGAGCCCGCGUCUGAUUAGCUUGUUGGUGAGGUAAUGGCUCACCAAGGCAUCGAUCAGUAGCUGGUCUGAGAGGAUGAUCAGCCACACUGGGACUGAGACACGGCCCAGACUCCUACGGGAGGCAGCAGUGGGGAAUUUUCCGCAAUGGGCGCAAGCCUGACGGAGCAACGCCGCGUGAGGGACGAAGGCCUCUGGGCUGUAAACCUCUUUUCUCAAGGAAGAAGAUAUGACGGUACUUGAGGAAUAAGCCACGGCUAAUUCCGUGCCAGCAGCCGCGGUAAUACGGGAGUGGCAAGCGUUAUCCGGAAUUAUUGGGCGUAAAGCGUCCGCAGGCGGCCUUUCAAGUCUGCUGUUAAAGCGUGGAGCUUAACUCCAUCAUGGCAGUGGAAACUGAUUGGCUUGAGUAUGGUAGGGGCAGAGGGAAUUCCCGGUGUAGCGGUGAAAUGCGUAGAUAUCGGGAAGAACACCAGUGGCGAAGGCGCUCUGCUGGGCCAUUACUGACGCUCAUGGACGAAAGCCAGGGGAGCGAAAGGGAUUAGAUACCCCUGUAGUCCUGGCCGUAAACGAUGAACACUAGGUGUCGGGGGAAUCGACCCCUUCGGUGUCGUAGCUAACGCGUUAAGUGUUCCGCCUGGGGAGUACGCACGCAAGUGUGAAACUCAAAGGAAUUGACGGGGGCCCGCACAAGCGGUGGAGUAUGUGGUUUAAUUCGAUGCAACGCGAAGAACCUUACCAGGGCUUGACAUCCUGCGAACCUUUAAGAAAUUAGAGGGUGCCUUCGGGAACGCAGUGACAGGUGGUGCAUGGCUGUCGUCAGCUCGUGUCGUGAGAUGUUGGGUUAAGUCCCGCAACGAGCGCAACCCACGUUUUUAGUUGCCAGCAUUAAGUUGGGCACUCUAGAAAGACCGCCGGUGAUAAACCGGAGGAAGGUGUGGAUGACGUCAAGUCAUCAUGCCCCUUACGUCCUGGGCUACACACGUACUACAAUGCUACGGACAAAGGGCAGCAAACUCGCGAGAGCUAGCAAAUCCCAUAAACCGUGGCUCAGUUCAGAUCGUAGGCUGCAACUCGCCUACGUGAAGUAGGAAUCGCUAGUAAUCGCAGGUCAGCAUACUGCGGUGAAUACGUUCCCGGGCCUUGUACACACCGCCCGUCACACCAUGGAAGUUGGCCACGCCCGAAGUCGUUACUUUAACCCUUGUGGAGAAGGACGCCGAAGGUGGGGCUGAUGACUGGGGUGAAGUCGUAACAAGGUAGCCGUACCGGAAGGUGCGGCUG